GUAGGUGGCAAGCGUUGUCCGGAAUUAUUGGGCGUAAAGCGCGCGCAGGCGGUUCUUUAAGUCUGAUGUGAAAGCCCACGGCUCAACCGUGGAGGGUCAUUGGAAACUGGAGAACUUGAGUACAGAAGAGGAAAGCGGAAUUCCACGUGUAGCGGUGAAAUGCGUAGAGAUGUGGAGGAACACCAGUGGCGAAGGCGGCUUCCUGGUCUGUAACUGACGCUGAGGCGCGAAAGCGUGGGGAGCAAACAGGGAUUAGAUACCCUGGUAGUCCACGCCGUAAACGAUGAGUGCUAAGUGUUAGGGGGGUUUCCGCCCCCUUAGUGCUGCAGCUAACGCAUUAAGCACUCCGCCUGGGGAUACGGCCGCAAGGCUG
rnacentral:rRNA from 1 species